CCUACGGGGUGCAGCAGUGGGGAAUAUUGGGCAAUGGGCGCAAGCCUGACGCAGCAACGCCGCGUGAAGGAAGAAGGCUUUCGGGUUGUAAACUUCUUUUGAGAGGGAAGAGCAGAAGACGGUACCUCUUGAAUGAGCCACGGCUAACUACGUGCCAGCAGCCGCGGUAAUAGGGAGGUGGCAAGCGUUGUCCGGAUUUACUGGGUGUAAAGGGCGUGCAGCCGGGAGGACAAGUCAGAUGUGAAAUCCCGCGGCUCAACCGCGGAACUGCAUUUGAAACUGUUUUUCUUGAGUACCGGAGAGGUAAUCGGAAUUCUUGGUGUAGCGGUGAAAUGCGUAGAGAUAAGGAAGAACACUAGUGGCGAAGGCGGAUGACUGGACCGCAACUGACGGUGAGGCGCGAAAGCGUGGGGAGCAAACAGGAUUAGAUACCCCUGUAGUC
rnacentral:rRNA from 1 species